rnacentral:tRNA from 1 species
AGAGCAGCUUGGUAGCUCGCGUGGCUCAUAACCACGAGUCGCAGGUUCGAUUCCUGU